rnacentral:lncRNA from 1 species
CGUGAUCCUGGAGACCUGGGAUCGAGUCCCAUGUCAGGCUUCCUGCAUGAAGCCUGCUUCUCCCUCUGCCUGUGUCUCUGCCUCUCUCUCUCUGUGUCUCUCAUGAAUAAAUAAAUAAAAUCUUAAAAAAAAGCACUGUCAAAAAUAUCUAAUUUGAUAUUCAAAUAAUCUUUGACAUUUUUAGAGUCAGCAGAGGAUUGUAUUAUGGAAGCUAAGAAAGUGGACUGUAGUUGUGAAGGAAAGAGGUGAUGCUCUUCACCUCAGCAGACUUCAGGGCAUGUUGCAUGUUGAAACAUCAUGACUUACCACGCUGAGAAGAUGCACAGGGAUCACAUGUUUGAUACGAAACUCAGCUCCUUCAGGCUGAUAAGUGCAAACCAGAGAACACACUGUAGUGGAAACAGGAUUAAUCCAGGUGCGCGGACACCCCCUGCCCGGCCACCUGUGUAACCCCUGCAAUAUCUUCAAGAAUUCCUCAAGGAUCAUCUCUCCCAGGAUGCUUAUCCCAGUAAGACUCCCACUCAUUCUGUGUUCUUCCAUGUCUGGGGUGUUUGCAUCUGUUAACACACUUAAGACACUGCAGUGCAGACGGU